GCCCGAUUAGCUCAGUGGCAGAGCAUCCGCCUUGUAAGCGGAGGGUCAUCAGUUCAAAUCUGAUAUUGGGCUCCA
rnacentral:tRNA from 1 species